UAUCUGGUUGGUNUGUAGGNCCCGGAGUAAUGAAUAAGAGGGNCAGUCGGGGNCAUUNGUAUUUCAUUGUCAGAGGUGAAAUUCNUUGGAUUUAUGAAAGACGAACUNCUGCGAAAGCAUUUGCCAAGGGAUGUUUUCAUUAAUCAAGAACGAAAGUUGGGGGCUCGAAGACGAUUAGANNCNGUCCUAGUCUCAACCAUAAACGAUGCCGACUAGGGAUCGGCGGGUGUUUUUUNGAUGACCCCGCCGGCACCUUAUGAGCAAUCAAAGUUUUGGGUUUCCGGGGGGAGUAUGGUC
rnacentral:rRNA from 1 species